CGUGCGGCGAGGGGGCGGGGCGCCGGCCGGGCGGCGGCGAUGGCGGCGGCCGCGGACUCCGGCCUCAGGGUCUCGGGCACAGCGGGGCUGAUCGCCGCCGGCUGCUGCCCGAUCGGACCCAAGGUAACACCUGAGGCCCUGCGGCCGAGGAAGGCCGCGGUCCCGAUGAAGCCAGGGGCGCUGGGCCGCUUGGCGGAGGCGCCCGGGUCCCCCGACCCGGCCAGUGGGUGUCUCCCCAUCACCCCGAACCCCACUCCUGCCUGGACCUGGAUUCCGGUCGCGCUGCAAGUCCUCCGCCGGCCGUCCUCGCUGAACCCGCAGACUGGUGCCUGGUCCCCGCGGGGGUGAGCAUUGGGCUGGGAACCGGACAAGGAAUGGGGCGAGUCAGGCCCACCAUUUCCUGCCCGUGGGUCCCAAGCCUUCACCCACUGUUGCUGGUACCUGCCUAGCAGAAAGCCAUUUUGAAGUAAAUGCUAGUAAAACUGAGGUUUUUUUAAAAAAAAAAAAAGAAGUCUUUUUCAAGGGACGGUGGCACCCUCAUAGACACACGAAUUCAUUGCGGAGGCAUAUGUGGGGUUGGCGUUUGUGGCAUCAUUUUUAGUCUGUGGUCCUGGAGAAGCGCUGAAAGUGGAAGUGGACGGGAUUGGUUCGUCCAAUCGGACGUCAUGGGAAGCACGCUGGCUCUUUCUAAUCAGUCUGACAUCAGCCUUAUUCGAAAGCGAACGCGUUUCUUUUCCAGACAAGAACAACAUCGAGCGCUGGCCGUGACGGGGGACUCUUGGUGCUCCCAUGCCGUGAUCAAAGCCAGUGGAAAACUGUGACAACCCUUAGCUGGCCAAGGUGCCUGCUAAGGACAGACGCAUUGUGGAAUGGCGAGUGAGAGGCAGUACUUGCAGAUUCCGGCGGUGACCACAUGGCCGGUUGCAGAAACAAGACUACCAGUUAUGAGUGUUUCUUCCUUAUUUUGACGUGAAUAUAUUUGUGUAUGUGUUAGCCAUGUCGAUGAAAAAAACAUCCAGCCUAAGUAAGAGAAAGCUUAUGAGAGUUUAUUUGAGCAAAACUGACAACAAUUGCCAGGAAGCAAAAAUCUCAACGGAUUCAGAAAAUGCUGCGCAAAAUGCGGGUUUGCAGCUUAUUUUAUACAUAGAAUCAAGGGAGGAAGGUUACUCCACUGGUGGUAGAUUAUGGGGUUGGGAGAAAGCAAAGCGGGGAAAUCUCUAUUGGAUAAAAGUACAUUGGAGAGACCGGUACUUCUUUCUCAUAGGUGGGCGCAGGAUAGUUAAUGGCUCACUUCUUCCAGCACAUAGAGAUGGUAAUCAGGGGAUGAGAAUAAGAAUGAGAUUCUAUAGCUUCCUGCUCUGGUCCAGAAAAGGGGAUUACCGACAUUCCAAGGGCAUGCUACCCUAGAUGCCAAAAGAUAAUCAAUAGGCUCGCUUAAGGUAGAGAUUGAGUUUAUCAGGGGAGCUUCAGGCUAAAGAUGUGACUUCCCACGGGGGU